GAGGAGCUGUGUGAAAAUGUCUCAGGAUUGACAAGUCACACGAGAGAAGGGAGAAGGCGCCCGAGCAGCCGAGGUGUGUGUCAGUUCCCUUGCACUUCCGGCUUUGCCCAUGGUUUGGAAUGACUGAGAAGUUCCCCACAGACAGCCACAGAGGCGGCAAAGAAGCCAAUGGUGCAGCAUGGAAGAGACUGUUGGUGAAGCUGAGGGGAGGUGCUGUCAACCACACCUGACCGGAGUUGGUUGCUGCAGCGAAGGCUGGAAAAAAGCAGGUUCACCUGAAGACCUUCUCCGUUCCCCCACUGGAAGCUGGAAAGAACCAAGACAGUGUUGGCUUGUGGUGCUACGAAAGGAAAGAGGUGGACCUGAGAAGCAGUGAGCCAUCGAUACGUGGAAAGUUAUGUGCUGGCAGCUGGAAGGCAGAAGAGAUCUAUAAUUUGGAAAACACGCCCCUCCCUGCAGACAGAUAGAGCAGUGGUCACACACAAAGUGGAGGAAAUCUUGCACUCCAGAGAAGAAGAAAUGCUGACAGCAGCUUGAAGAAACACCCGAUUCCCUUGAGGAUCCACAUGAAUGGUUUUCACUAUUUGCCCUACAUUCUCAGAAGACUCUGAGGGACUUCCCUAGCGGUCCAGUGGCUAAGACUCUGAGCUUCCAAUGCAAGGGAUGCCAUUUCGAUCCCUGAUCAGGGAACUAAGAUCCCACAGGGCCGCAUGGCAAAAAAUAAAAGAUGAUCACAGAUCACUCGUUAAAAAUAGAAGACUCUGACCUUAAUUUUGCUCACAUCAUGCGCCUUCACUUGCUCUGAGGUCCUACUGCUGAUAAUCAGUGCUAUGUUGGUGCCUUUCCCAAAUCUCUCUC
ensembl:lncRNA